AUAUGUUUUUCGUUCGGUUACAUUGUUUCCAGUCAAUUAAUCGCGAGAUCGUUAUUGAUAAGAUUCAGUGAAAAGAGCCUGAAACGCAAACAGACGGAAAUCUAGAAUCUAAUCAAGACUACUCCAACUCUGUCAUCGUACAAGAUAGAUAUCGCAUCGGAAUCGGUGUUGAAUUGAAAACCGCCAUAACUUGUUUUGCUUCUGAAACUAGAAAGUCUAGACAUUUCCACUUAGGGCCCUUUUCUUAUAAUUCAGUGCGUGCAAAAAAUCUCGGAACAGCCGGCAUUUUCACAAAGCAAACAGUCUGUUCCGUGAUCUCCUAGUUAGCGAAUGGUCUGUUUAUAAUGAAUCAGAUACGUACGUAGUGUGUAGUUGCAUGAUACUGCUGCGUUGUUGGAAAGUGUAUUAUAAUAGUUAAUUGCAAUAUUCAUCAAAAUGAGUAGGUCGUCGGCCGGAAAUCGCAAUUCAGCAGUAGUCGUCGACCAAGAAAGUAGCAAUCAGUACUAUCAAGAAGAGUUCCCAAAUGUGAUAAGCGUGCUGAAAAAUGGGACAAAGUCGGCUUGCUCGAGGUCGGCACUAACAAAUCGGCUGCCAAUAACCAAGUGGCUUCCAGACUAUAAAUUAAUUUACUUAUUAAGAGAUUUUAUCGCGGGGUUGACCGUUGGACUCACGGCGAUACCGCAAGGAAUAGCGUAUGGAGUUGUGUCCGGGCUUGGGCCCCAGUAUGGCCUGUACGCAGCCUUCAUGGGAAGCUUUACCUAUAUUCUAUUCGGGUCGUGCAAAGACAUCACUAUAGGCCCAACAGCAAUUAUGGCAUUGAUGGUGCAGCGCUAUGUUGACAUCAGCGUCGACUUUGCUAUUUUGGCUUGCUUCUUGACUGGAGCAGUGAUAACACUCUUUGGCCUUCUACAUUUCGGAUUCCUGGUGCAAUUCAUAUCAGCCCCGGUAACAAAUGGAUUCACAACCGCCGCUGCGAUUACAAUCGCUAGUGGGCAAAUUAACGCUCUUCUGGGAAUUCCAAGUAAAUCAAACGACUUCGUUGCAAUCUGGGUAAAUGUUUUCACGAAAAUAGAUCAAACCCGAUUCACAGAUUUAGGGUUAGGUCUGGGAACAAUUGUAUUUUUAAUAUUGUUGCGAAAAUGCACACAGUUGACCGGAAAAUUAAAAUUAUUCGGGAAGUACCUGUCGUUGUCUCGAAAUGCCUUAGCUGUGAUAAUCGGUGGAACACUAGCUUAUAUAUUUAGCAUUUAUGAUCUCUAUCCAUUCAGGUUGACUGGUAAACUUCAAGCAGGCCUUCCACCUUUCCAAUUGCCACCGUUUUCAACGGUUACCAAAAACGGGACGGAUCUCGAUUUUGCUGAUAUGGUCAACACUCUCGGAUCAUCGAUUAUUGCAAUCCCGAUUGUAUCAAUUUUGGAUACAGUCGCUAUAGCAAAUGCUUUCUCCAAAGGAAAAACGGUCGACGCUUCGCAAGAAAUGGUCGCCUUAGGAAUAUGCAAUAUUGGCGCCUCAUUUUUCUCAUCAAUGCCGAUAACUGGGUCUUUUACUAGAACAGCAGUCAACAGUGCCAGUGGGGUUAUGACACCCCUAGGCGGGUUGUUUACGGGUGUUCUUGUUCUGCUUGGCCUUGGAUUCCUUACCGAAACGUUUUAUUUUAUUCCAAAGUCCGUUCUAGCUGGCAUUAUAAUAUUGGCUAUGUACUACAUGGUUCACUUCGAUAAAAUAGCCGAUAUAUGGCGUGCAAAACGAAUCGACAUCUUGCCGUUUAUUGUGACAGUUCUGGCAUGCCUUUACCUUGGCUUGGAGAUUGGGAUUUUGUGUGGAGUAGCGCUGAGCGUCCUGUUCAUAUUGUACGACACAGCACGUCCAGAAGUCUUUAUUGAAGCUAGGAAGACAAAUGAACUGAAUACCAACAAUUUGAAGCCCGCCAUAUUCGUUCAGUUCGGUCUGUCAGUUGCGCCGGAAGAACCCGUAAUGCACAGUUGAAUUCAAAGCAUCAUUCACGUACUGACAAGCGACAGCAUCAUUAGUGCAUCUCUGGACGUGGAAGGCGUUGACACGACAAUUUGAGAUAUUUAGGUGUGUGUGCAUUUAUUAAAAAUGAUCACCAGCGAUAAAGAUGCCCAUAGAAUUCUCACUCACAGCCUAAACGGACAUUCCUGACCGGUUGGUCGAAUUGUUUUUCAUUCGUUCACCGGCCGCUUGAACACACCAACUGUAUCCCAUCCAACUGCGGACUAUUCAGGCGUAACUGAGAGGUUGAAAGAUCGAGGGAAACGAUAUUCUUUUGGUGAAACCAUCUCAGAAUUUAGUGUUUUCCUCCGCCGAAUAUUUGAAAAGCCGAAUAAUUGGGACAGUUUCGGAUCUCCGGUCGAAUUCUAUUUUCAUAAUUAUCGAUGGCGA